UCUCGUAUUUAAGCCCUUAGUUUACAUUUUAUUCUAGAUUUCCAGUUUUGAGCAUGUCCUUUGUGAUGUUGGAGGUCUUGGCUAAUGUGUUUUAAAGUUGUGAUUUUGGGGAAAGUUUAGUUCAUUGGAAGGAGUUUUGAUUAUUAUGAAAGUUGCUAAAAGCAAAUCUUAAGCACACUGUUUCUCGGAGUUCCCCUUUUGUGAAAGCUACUUAAGAUUUUGAAAUUCUAAUAUGCCGUGCCUACUUGUUCUCAAGUGUUCAUGCUUUCAUGUUUCUAUAAGUAUGGUGGGGAAGAGAGGGUGUUAUACCUCUUGCAGUAGCUAUUCUCUUACAAAAUUCUGCUCCUAACUCUUCCAAGGUCACUUGCCACUCUGGAACUCCUUGUUGUGAAGUAAGGGAAGUGGUGAGUGGUGAAGGGAAACAGAUAUUGAAGGGGAAGACAUUUAUAUAAGCUGCUGCUGCAGUUUGUUGAGAUAUGGCAAAAAUCGAAUCUGCAUUCUUUGGCUCUUUUGUUCACAUUGGUUGGCUGUUUGUGAGAUAGUACUUGUGAAGGAAUAAAUGGACUGAGCUUCCCCUUUGUUUUCUUAUUGCAGCAAGAUCCCUUUUGGCGAUCUUCAUCCUACUUUGUUUAGUUUGGUUUGUUUCUAUCUUUGGAGUACAUGUACUCUUGCAUUUAAAUACUUUGUUGGUUUGUUGCAGGUAGUGAUUGGAGAGAAGGCAGGAGCUAUUGGGAUUAGGAGAUGCUGCAGGUGGUAGUCAUAGGAGGAAGAGUUAUUGGGCUGCUCUUUGGGCCGACAGCCCUCUACCAACGGGCUGGACUAAUGAGCCUCGGGUGUGGUUUGUGCCUGAAGAGAAUAGGCCCAAGAAGCAUUUAUUCACUUAUUUAAUUAUAGGUGCACUAUUAGUUUCUUUUGUACUUAAAAACUUUAUAUACUUAAUUCAUAUACAUCCAUUUAUGUAUUGAA